AAUUAGUAAACUUUUCCUGCGCACACUACGGUUAUCUAUGAGCAUCUGUUCGUAUCAAGCAUGCACCAAGUGCCAGGUCCUGGGCUAGGUACUGAUUAUAGAAAAAUUAUUAUGAAAAUGGAUCCUAGCGCUAAGGGAGAUCCUAACCCAGUGGAGAAGACAGAAACCAGUUUUUGUUCUGUAGGUUCCCCUCCAGCCCUCCUCUCCAGUUUUAAUUCUAAACCUACUUAUUCUGGACCCUAGGGGGAGAAUUCCCACAGAGCUACACUUUGUUUGGCUCGCUCUAGAGUGUUAGCACCUAGCUUUGCUCUGCCUUUUGUGUGAUUGCUACCUCCGUCUCCAUACCCUCUGUUACCUGACUUUUCCUAGGGCUCAAAGCCUAUGCAAACUCAGCUUAAGAACAACCCAGAACACUGCGAAUUUGCAUUUGGCAUUGACCCUCUGGGGGGCUUAGAUAAGAAGCUUUGGUUAUGGAAUUGAAAAGGUGUGAAUUGUAUAACAAUGAACGAGCCCUUUGCUAAGGGAGAGUGGACUGUUAGGGUCCUGGAAAAGUCCCUCAUACACAGUCAACAAGAGCGUUUUUUUUUUGGCUUUUCGAGACAGGGUUUCUCUGUGUAGCUUUGCGCCUUUCCUGGAUCUCGCGCUGUAGACCAGGCUGGCCUCGAACUUACAGAGAUCCGCCUGCCUCUGCGAUUAAAGGCGUGCGCCACCACCGCCCGGCAACAAGAGCGUUUUUAUUCCAGCAUGCUGGGGCCUGCCAUCCCACAUGAAGGCAAGAUGGCAACGACCCUGAGAGGAGCCCACAGGCUCCUUUUAAGCACAGCUAAGAGGAGGUCCUAGAGCAGUAUAGAGAAAGAAGAAAUGCCUGAAAACUGGAACACAUCCUAAGUAUGGCUGGAGAGAUCUGCUAUUUGGGGUAGGCUGUAAUCUUAUUCGUGGGGACCAUUCAGUCCUUAUGUGAGGAAGUCUACAGUGUGGCUGAGAAGACGUGACACUUCGCUGUGAGACUAUCACUAGCGGAUGACAAGCGUGUGGUUCGCAUCUUACCAUCGUUGCUGAAAGAAGGAAAGAUCUUGUGGACUAGGACAGAGAAGGAACCUUCGUGAAGAGCCUUCACGGGAAAAGAGUUUCUUAGAAGGGUCUUAGGGACCUACAGGACCUUCAUGCUCAACGAUUAUGACAGUGCUCACACCAGGUCCAUGAAACCUCUACUCUAGCUACUGCUAGAUGUAGAAACCUGAACUGAGACUGUCACACCACAUGACUGGGACAUCAAAUGUUGUUUCUGAUGCCCCUGAAACAUGAUACGGCAAUGAUCACUGUCACUGCUCCCAGGGGAUGGGAUGGAAGGUCACAUUGUCUCAUAGCACUAGCUUUUCAACCUCAAUGGGGACAAUGAUUGACACAGUUCAGCCAUAUGUUGGCCCUGUAGUUCUAUGCUGUCCAACAGAAAUAUAAUGUAAGCUACACACUUAGUUUAAGGUUUUUUGUUUUGUUUUUUUUUACCGGAGCUGAGGACCGAACCCAGGGCCUUGCACUUGCUAGGCAAGCGCUCUACCACUGAGCUAAAUCUCCAACCCCAAGAUUUUUUUAAGAGCCACAUUGAGAAAGUUUCUUUCCUUUAAUUAUGAGUGAACCCUCAAGGGAAGGCUUAGGGAACACUGUGGAAGAGGAGGCAGUAAGAUCGUAAAAGCCAGAGGCUGGGGAGGGGUAGAGUGUGUUCUGGACAUAACAGGCCUGCUGACUCAUGAGUGCACAGUGGCCGUGUUUAUCUGCACAAGAUCAAUCCAGUCAAUAUUCCAGCUUGCGGCAGGGAGGAGCUCAUGAACCCUGACCCCCUAGGUGGGGUCUGUUGACACUUGAUGGCUUCUUCAGAAGGGUGUCAGUUUUCCCUUAGGGUGUGGUCCCUAGUGGGUCAAGUAGGCUCCGGUGGACGGCCCCAUGUCCAUGAGUAUAAAGGCAGCAGAAAUUGGACUUGAUGUGUUCUUUUUAAAAAAAAUCAAAAAGACACAAAGUUUGGAGGGGGUUGAAAGUGGA